AGUUGCCGCUGGGUGCCCACACCGUGGCUCCCGGGCGCGGGAAGAGAGGGUGGCACUGUUGUUAUCCGUGCGGAGAAAGGGCGCAGCGGUGUUUGCACAGCGCGGACGGAAGCGCUGGUGGCAGCCCCGAGGCGCAGGGUGUGCGGCAGCAGGACAGCAGUGACAAGGCAAAGCAUUUCUGGAUUCACUUGAAGACUGACACAUGGACAUGUUUCCAUUGAAGUUGCUACAGGUGAUAGGAGUUUUCUUCUGAAGACUGACAAAAGGACUGGAGCACAUGAUUAUGUUGUUACUGGAUCAGUGAAGAGAACCAUGAAAAACACAAUUACCAGGAAGCCCUGUUCCUUAGCUCACCUCUUUGUCUCACUGCGAAUGGGGCAUGUGACUCACGGAGCAAUAGAGGACCGGCUGUAAUCUCACGCACUACCGAGAAGGGUGCUGUCCUCCGAUGGGACCCAAGCGUGGGAAAGCCUGACUGCCGGCUGGAAGGGCCAGUCAUGUCAUGUUUUGCAGCUGGCAUCCAAAUGCAUCCUGAUGAAUCAAGUGAGAGCAGCUACCUUCUCCUGCCACAACCGUGGCCAAGCUGCCACGUAGAAGAGGGGCUGUAAAAACCUCCCCGCAUGCAAAAGCACAGGGAAGGGAUGAUGUUGUGAAUGAGCUUACUGUGACAGCACAGAAAUGUUUUAUAGGUCAAUGGCAUAGCAUCAGACUAAAGGGAGAGGGGAAGAGUAUCUUUCAGCUGUGAGUGCUGGUCUCAGGUUUGCACAGUGCAGGACCAUGGUUAGUGGGCCUGACCCGACCCCCUUAUGUGAUGCAUGGUGGGAAAAGAGAAAUUCUCUUGCUCUCUGCACUCCAAAUCACGUAUAAACCUAUGACCUCAAUGACAAAUACCAGUAGCAGCAGAGCAGCCAAUAUUUUUAUCAUUAAUUGCUAUCAAAAAUAUCAGCUUAAAGUCAUCAGAUUUGAUAGGCGAGCAUGCUCCAAACUGACGGCUGAAGUGAAUUAUUUGCCUAUUGCGUGAUGCAAAAGCAAUGUCUUGCAGGAGAGAACAGACAUUGGCCAACAAACUGACAGCAAGAUAUACUUCUGGGGAAGGCUUCUGAUUUGAUUUGGAAGGAAACACUGAGUAUAAAUACAGAGAAAGUUUACCUGCAUGAAAGGCAGGGUUGAGCCAUGGCUUGGACCUCCUUACUCUGCUGGAGAACAGUGUGAAUCGUACUUUCUAUUUUACUCUCUUUGAGCUGUUCUCAUUACAAAAAGGUACCAGACACCUCAGAAAGUUUUUUAAGUAAUAAAGCAUUUUUUCCCCCAUCCCUGGUGCAUCCAUCUAUCAGUGACUAAUGAGCACAUAAAUUCCAGCAUGUGAAGAAAAAUCCCUUCAUCUUGGUGUUGGCAGAAUUUUCCCUGCCCAUGGAUCUGCAGCACAAAUCUUUCUGGUCUUUCUGUGCUGAGGGUCUAAACAUGGGCAGACAGUACAUGGUGCAUUACUGGCAUACAAAUAAUGUAACUACUAGGUACUACAAAUUGAAUCAGGACCUGUUUAAAUGCUGGUAUAACCAUGAACAUCAUCCAGGACAUGCUUCUGUGGGAUUUGGUGACUGUCUUUAUUUCACCCAGUGAGAAAAACCCCAUAUGGAAGCAGGAUUCCAUUGAAGGGAAAGUUAGCUAUGCCUUCCAGGAAUCUCUUUUGCCCCCAAAAAUUCAGACAUCACGGGACAUAAGCAGAAAAUGAAAGAGAACCAGUGAGGGGAAAACCAAACAGGCUAGGGUCUUCUUGCCACUUCUUUUGAAGUCCCCAGUGUAACUCCUGGCAUCUUCAGUGGGGUUUGGCUGGGCUCUGUGCAGAAGCGCCUUUGAAGAUUUUGCUAAGGCUCAAGGCCUUGAUCAUGGCAACUUUUAUGCCUGUGAGCAACUCUGUGCAGAUGAACACUUCCAGGGUGCUCAGCAGGAUGCUUUGGAUGAGACUUUGCAGGGCUAGUCUUAAGCAAUGAGAGCUUAAGAGAAAUAUUCUGGUUGUCGUGCUUUUAUCCUUGACCACAUCAAAUGAAAUGCCUUGGCAGUUCUGGAAGAAUGAAUUUGCAUUGAAAACCCACAGCUCUUACAAGCAGUGCAUUAAUUAUUUUAUUAAUUUGCUCUUUUUACAUUAUGGGAAACAUUCAUCUAUUUACAUUUUCCGGUCCACACACAAACCAGAUAGAUAAUCCUAUGGAAACCCAAAUCAUUAAGCCAUAAAAACACUCUUUUCUGUCUAAAGGCUUUCAAAUUUGUGUCUUUUGUUUCAAAUCAAAAACAUUUUUAAAAUCACAUUUGGGAAUGCAGGUAGGCCAGUGAUUUACAUUCUACUUAAAAUAUGCAUUUGACCAUUUUCCUUAAAAAAAAAAAAACAAAACAAAAAACCAAAACCCCCAAUAAAUUCACAAUGAUACAGUUUAAAUUAAAGUGAUAGUGCACAUCAAAGCGUUAAGGGAACACCAAUAAAUAAAAUGAAAUAUAUUACAAAUAAAUUAUUUCUAUUUACCUUUUCAAAUAUUAAAAAUCUUUAAUCCAUUUCUUCAUCUUUCUUUACAAAAAGAUUAUGAGAAUUUUAUGGAAACAUCUGCAAAAAAUAUAAUAAAUACCUCUUUUUUUUUUUUUUUUUGACUUUUGAAGCAGGAGACAAAACCAACCUUUUCUAAAAUUUCCCCCAAGAAAAAAAAGCCAUAGUUUAGUCCCAAGGUGAAACAGAAUAUAGGCAUUUUUAAAAUACACUGGGCAGUUUAGACUAAAAACAAAUAGUUACAAAUUAUACUAAAACAGAUGAUGGAGCAAAUAUACUAGCAUUAGUGUUUGUAAAUGAGUCAAGUGGUUAACUAGUGGCAUUCUAUGGGCAGAAUUAUUUUAUUUUGUAUUUUCUGGUAUUGGCUGUAUUUUAAUACUUUGCUAAAAAACUAGGCAAACAUUAUAAUAACCUCUCCAGUGCCAAAUGAACUAACAAGCAUUCAGCUAAGAAUAAAUUCAUUUAAAAUAGAUACAAAAAAUAUUCUAUGAUAUACAAAUACAAUAAUUUGUAAUGUACAAGACUAGAUAGUCUUCACUUUUCUGCUUUUUCAGGGGAGAAAUUGAUGGAUAUAAAUUUCUGUAGCCACUUGUCAACCAAAGUCUUAACUCAUCUUUCGUAAAACGUUCACAAAACUAAGUAAGUCUGCGACACAGUUGUGAAUGUGGACUCUCACCUAGGUACUGCUUUGAAUACUUCAGUACAAAUGAGUUCCAAAUAAUUAAUACUUCCUAUGACUAUAUAUGCUCAAAAGUGGCAGUUGGCACUAUUACAUACUGCAAACACGGUGAUGUUUUGUUGCUGCUAAAAGUUAAACGCAGUGUUUCAAAACUAGCAAAUACACUGGUAUUCAAACGCUUAGAGAGUCAAACCUUUUGAAGCUCCUGUAACACCAAGCACUCUAGAGUUACACUGGAUUUCUGAUUACUCUAGUUAAAAGUCUUUUAUAUAUUAAAUUAUUAGCCCUUAUCUUGUAAACCACAGCAGUAAAUAUUUGUGCCCUGUUUAUAAAGACAUAGCUCAGAUAUCGAUGGCUUUGAGAGGUAGCAAAUUCUCUAGUGGUUUUAGUAUGCUCUCAUGAAAAUACUUGGUGCCAGAACCUAUUACCUCUCCUAUUUUCUCGAAUAAAAUUAAAUUAGCACCUGGCUAUGAUGUCAUAGGAAAAGAAGCUGUCUGGCAUGGUCUCGAUGAAAACUUUUAGCAAGAGCUUAACUUUUCGAUGACAAUUUUCAAUGCUUUUUAAGUGCAAGCUGCAGAAUUAUGCCACAUGUGCAGUGGGGUU